rnacentral:lncRNA from 1 species
GGGGUCGCUUCCAAGAGCUCACCCACAUGGUUAUUGGCUGGAGUCUUUUGUUCCCCACUGUCUGUUGACUGAGGGCCUCCAGGUUCUCCCUGGGCACCUGCAGCCUCCACCUGGGUCCCUCCGGGGCAACAGGCUCUUUCAGAGUGGCCUCCCCACCGACUCAGAAGAACUUUGUCCAGCAGCAGAAUCUGAGAUAUGUCUGAAGUAGACAAAGCCAG